UCCUGUAUGCCCUUUACAAAGCGAUAUUCUAUGAUCUAUGAAUGACCGCAGCAUAACAUUGACAACUCAGUAGUUUCAAGACUAACCUAAAUAUCUCUAUUAAAAAAUGGUCAAUAUUUACAAAUAUUCUAAAUAAUUUACAAAAGCCGCAAUGAUACAUCGUUUUCCUUAAACGGUCCGGCUUAGACGAGGUAUAUUGCAUGUCCUUUGGCGCUUCGAGCAAACAGCUGCAUUCAAGAAACAACCAUCGAAAAGCCCAAGCUUCCCUAAAUUCAAGUCCCACUUACUUGAUAUUUUAAAAGUAAAGAAAUAUCAAACAACUGUGUAAAGCUCAAUGGUUUUCUUAGUAGAAAAUCGUAUAAUACGGGCAUCUCUUUCAAACAGAACGAUGUGUUAUGCUGUGUAUAUAAAAAACCGACCGGUCACAGCGGGCUGUACACUGUACUGUAUACCGUUAUUGCCAUUGUUAAAUAUCAAUUAGUGUUCUCCAAUCCAACAUUACCACAACUUUGUGUUGCAUCACUGUUUCAGUAGAUAAUACAUAAUUGUAUAUAGAUAGUCUGUGGAGCGGUUUUUCAGUGUUGUGUUGUUGCGCGGACCAUAGACUAAAAUUAUGAGAAAAAGACAUUCUAGCUUUUUUGAAAACAAUACUACGAACAAUAAUUUUGGCUUUAUUGUUUUUCGUGGUACAAGAAGUCAUUAAAUUUACAAUCGGGCACCAUAUUGUAACAAAGGAUAUUUCAAGGAUUAAUUGUAUUUGUGACAGAAAAGCAUUUUUUAUAAAGGUGUCUAUUACCAAACAAGAUAAUGCUGAUAUCAAAAGAUUCAAAAAGGCAAGAUAGCCCAUCCUUAAUUGAAAAAAAAAAACUUGGAAGAUUCAGAUAUCACUGCAAUUGACGAAAAUCACAUCAUUAAUUAUUAUUUGUAUCCAAAGCCUUUGUUAAAUAAAAUGAAACUCAUCAACAAAUUUUGUAAUAAGUCAAGUUCAACAGUAUUAACAACACAAGAACAGUGUUUUCAACUAGAACAGUAACUAUGGAGAAGUGCUAGUCUAAUUUAGAUUUAAAAAAGCAAAUUGAGACAAUAUGAAGUUGUUCAUUCUUACUUGGCUUCAAAUUCUUCAACAAAUUUUGUAAUAAGUCAAGUUCAACAGUAUUAACAACACAAGAACAGUGUUUUCAACUAGAACAGUAGCUAUGGAGAAGUGCUAGUCUAAUUUAGAUUUAAAAAAGCAAAUUGAGACAAUAUGAAGUUGUUCAUUCUUACUUGGCUUCAAAUUCUUCAACAAAUUUUGUAAAAAGUCAAGUUUAACAGUAUUAACAACACAAGAACAGUGUUUUCAACAAGAAUAGUAACUAUGGAGAAUGCUAGUGUAAUUAAGAUUUAAAAAAGCAAAUUGAGACAAUAUGAUGUUGUUCAUUCUUACUUGGCUUCAAAUUCUUCAACAAAUUUUGUAAAAAGUCAAGUUCAACAGUAUUAACAACACAAGAACAGUGUUUUCAACAAGAAUAGUAACUAUGGAGAAUGCUAGUGUAAUUUAGAUUUAAAAAAGCAAAUUGAGACAAUAUGAUGUUGUUCAUUCUUACUUGGCUUCAAAUUCUUCAACAAAUUUUGUAAAAAGUCAAGUUUAACAGUAUUAACAACACAAGAACAGUGUUUUCAACAAGAAUAGUAACUAUGGAGAAUGCUAGUGUAAUUAAGAUUUAAAAAAGCAAAUUGAGACAAUAUGAUGUUGUUCAUUCUUACUUGGCUUCAAAUUCUUAUACAAAUUUUGUAAAAAGUCAAGUUCAACAGUAUUAACAACACAAGAACAGUGUUUUCAACAAGAAUAGUAACUAUGAAGAAUGCUAGUGUAAUUUAGAUUUAAAAAAGCAAAUUGAGACAAUAUGAUGUUGUUCAUUCUUACUUGGCUUCAAAUUCUUCAACAAAUUUUGUAAAAAGUCAAGUUCAACAGUAUUAACAACACAAGAACAGUGUUUUCAACAAGAAUAGUAACUAUGGAGAAUGCUAGUGUAAUUAAGAUUUAAAAAAGCAAAUUGAGACAAUAUGAUGUUGUUCAUUCUUACUUGGCUUCAAAUUCUUAUACAAAUUUUGUAAAAAGUCAAGUUCAACAGUAUUAACAACACAAGAACAGUGUUUUCAACAAGAAUAGUAACUAUGAAGAAUGCUAGUGUAAUUUAGAUUUAAAAAAGCAAAUUGAGACAAUAUGAUGUUGUUCAUUCUUACUUGGCUUCAAAUUCUUCAACAAAUUUUGUAAAAAGUCAAGUUCAACAGUAUUAACAACACAAGAACAGUGUUUUCAACAAGAAUAGUAACUAUGGAGAAUGCUAGUGUAAUUAAGAUUUAAAAAAGCAAAUUGAGACAAUAUGAUGUUGUUCAUUCUUACUUGGUUUCAAAUUCUUCAACAAAUUUUGUAAAAAGUCAAGUUCAACAGUAUUAACAACACAAGAACAGUGUUUUCAACAAGAAUAGUAACUAUGGAGAAUGCUAGUGUAAUUUAGAUUUAAAAAAGCAAAUUGAGACAAUAUGAUGUUGUUCAUUCUUACUUGGCUUCAAAUUCUUCAACAAAUUUUGUAAAAAGUCAAGUUCAACAGUAUUAACAACACAAGAACAGUGUUUUCCCCUAAUAGCAACUAUGGAAAAGUUCUAAUGUAUUUUAGAUUUAAUAAGGAAAGUAAGAAAAUAUGAAUUUCAUAAUGUGUUCCGGCACUGGCUUCAACCAAUAAUUGUCAUAUAUUAUGCAUACUAGCUAUAUGAUUGUGUUUCUACUUAAAUAAUUAUUUACUGUUUGUUCAAGAAAAGAAGUAUGAUAUUUGAUUAUUUCUGUUUACUGCAAGAUAUAAAUUGGAUUCACAGCGAGUUGAACAUUAGACAUGUUGAUGACAAAAAUAUGUUACACAUCAAAUUUUCUAUUAUUCAUUGUUUUAUCAUGUUAAUAAAUAAUUUUUAUUUA